rnacentral:rRNA from 1 species
UACGUAGGUGGCAAGCGUUGUCCGGAAUUACUGGGCGUAAAGCGUGCGCAGGCGGUGAUGUAAGACAGAUGUGAAAUCCCUCGGCUUAACCGGGGAACUGCAUCCGAUACUGGAUGGCUUGAGUUCGGGAGAGGGAUGCGGAAUUCCAGGUGUAGCGGUGAAAUGCGUAGAUAUCUGGAGGAACACCGGUGGCGAAGGCGGCAUCCUGGGACCGACACUGACGCUGAGGAGCGAAAGCCAGGGGAGCAAAACGGGG